rnacentral:lncRNA from 10 species
CAGCUGGUGCUGGGAUAUUCAGGGAUCAAAGGCCCAUGGGGUUCCAUGUGGGCUUGAGUGGUGCCUGUACACAGACUCCAGGCAGUUCUCUCUGUUAGUCUGGAAUCCUGGGGAGGCCAGGGGUUGUCUCUCAUGGUCAAGAUUGCAAAAUUCUUUGACAGAAGAGUGAAUCCCCAGUGAUUUCUCACUCUUGCACCCUUUCUCUGCACUAUGGAGCUUCCCCAGGCAUUGCAAUGGUCUGGGUGGGCAGCUGCUUCACUGGGUGUACCUUUGCUGCUUCACUCCUCUUUGCUCUCCAUGGGUCUCAUUUCUUCCCUGGUGAAUCCCAGUGUGAUCUCUUAGACAAUCUACUUGCCAGGCAUAGCCAAUUCAUGGUGAAUGGAAGACCUGUGUGUCACUUCUGGGCUGCAAUAUUUAAUUACAAGUCUGAACUGUCCAGAACGAUCUUCCUCCUUCCAAAGAGAUCUUGGAAGCACAUGUUGCAAUAGAGCUUGUGAGCUUCUAGUUCACUGAAUGACUCAUUGAAUAGAGUUCUUUCGACAACCAGAAAAUGGGCAUAAGGGAAAAUAAACUUUUUUUUUCUGUUAAACAUAUGAGAUUUGGGAGCUUUUUAUACCACAGCAUUACCUGACCUAUCUAAGUGAUAGAGUGAGAGUCAAUAAGAAUCAAUAUUCAUAAAUCAGACUCGCCUAUAAUUUUCAUUUGUCAAACUAUCCUUUUCUAGUGUCAGAUAACGUUGCACUGUUUUCAUAGAAUAAUAUACAUUUUCAUAUCUUUGGAUGAAUUUUAUGAUCUUGGAAUGAUGUACUCCUUUUACAUCUGCUAAAUCUCAAGUGUAAAUUUUUUUUUUUUUAGUUUGUGGGAAGAUUUUAGCAAAUGUUCAUGUUGAAGGCUUUUUCUAACUUUCCUAAGUUCUUUGAAGAGAUAAUGCUAGUAUUUCAUAUAAAGAAGAUAUGUAGAAAAGCGAUUUGAGAAUGGAGAUAAAAAGAAUCAAAUGUUUACUCAUGCUGAGAAAUGGCAGAUCCUUGGGCUGCAGAAAGAGAGGAUGGGAUUUGUUCGUUGUUCUCUGACCUUACCUUAGGAAAUUUG